rnacentral:tRNA from 1 species
GCCUCUGUAGCUCAGUUGGUUAGAGCGCGAGUUUCGUAAACUCGAGGUCCCGGGGUCGGAUCCCGGCAGAGGCU